UACAGAGGGUGCAAGCGUUGUUCGGAAUUAUUGGGCGUAAAGCGCGUGUAGGCGGCUUCGCAAGUCGGGUGUGAAAGCCCUCAGCUCAACUGAGGAAGUGCGCCCGAAACUGCAGAGCUUGAGUGCCGGAGAGGGUGGCGGAAUUCCCCAAGUAGAGGUGAAAUUCGUAGAUAUGGGGAGGAACACCGGUGGCGAAGGCGGCAUCCUGGACCAUUACUGACGCUGAGGCGCGAAAGCUAGGGGAGCAAACGGG
rnacentral:rRNA from 1 species